UACGUAGGGCGCAAGCGUUGUCCGGAAUUAUUGGGCGUAAAGGGUAGGUAGGUGGUCUCAUUUGUGUGGGGUGAAAGCCUUGAGCUUAACUCAAGAAGUGCCCCGCAAACGGUGAGACUGGAGUACUGGAGAGGCUAGUGGAAUUCCCGGUGUAGCGGUGAAAUGCGUAGAGAUCGGGAGGAACACCAGAGGCGAAGGCGGCUAGCUGGACAGUUACUGACACUCAACUACGAAAGCGUGGGGAGCAAACAGG
rnacentral:rRNA from 1 species